rnacentral:rRNA from 1 species
AAACGACUGCUAAUACCGCAUACGCCCUACGGGGGAAAGCAGGGGACCUUCGGGCCUUGCGCGAUUGGAUAUGCCCAGGUGGGAUUAGCUAGUUGGUGAGGUAAUGGCUCACCAAGGCGACGAUCCCUAGCUGGUCUGAGAGGAUGAUCAGCCACACUGGAACUGACACACGGUCCAGACUCCUACGGGAGGCAGCAGUGGGGAAUAUUGCACAAUGGGGGAAACCCUGAUGCAGCCAUGCCGGGUGUGUGAAGAAGGCCUUCGGGUUGUAAAGCACUUUCAGCGAGGAGGAAAGGUCAGUAGCUAAUAUCUGCUGACUGUGACGUUACUCACAAAAAAAGCACCGGCUAACUCCGUGCCAGC